rnacentral:misc_RNA from 1 species
ACACCUCAACUCUCAUGGUCCGCCAUGACGAGCUUGGACUCUGGGGGUCUUGCCGGACCAGCGUCGGCUCCCCUAAAAUGGAUCGGCUUGCCAGUGUUUGGUGGCGUCACAGGUGUGAUAACUAUCUACGCGUGUGGUUCCCCGCCAUGUAACCUUCAGCGAUGGAGGUUCGCUGGAGCUCACAGAUGUCUCUCCUCGUGAGGACAGCUUUUUGAAC